AGUGAACGCUGGCGGCAGGCCUAACACAUGCAAGUCGAACGGCAGCGGGUCCUUCGGGAUGCCGGCGAGUGGCGGACGGGUGAGGAAUACAUGGGAAUCUGCCCAGUCGUGGGGGAUAACGUAGGGAAACUUACGCUAAUACCGCAUGCGACCUUAGGGUGAAAGCGGCGGACCGCAAGGCGUCGCGCGAUUGGAUGAGCCCAUGUCUGAUUAGCUAGUUGGCGGGGUAAAGGCCCACCAAGGCGACGAUCCGUAGCUGGUCUGAGAGGAUGAUCAGCCACACUGGAACGGGGACACGGUCCAGACUCCUACGGGAGGCAGCAGUGGGGAAUAUUGGACAAUGGGCGCAAGCCUGAUCCAGCCAUGCUAGGUGAGUGAAGAAGGCCGUCGGGUUGUAAAGCUCUUUUGUCCGGAAAGAAAAGCUCUCGGUUAAUACCCGGGGGUUCUGACGGUACCGGAAGAAUAAGCACCGGCUAACUUCGUGCCAGCCGCCGCCGUAACAC
rnacentral:rRNA from 1 species